rnacentral:rRNA from 1 species
AGAUCGGCUUACUGGUCGUGCUUUUGUACGUACUGGUAUUAUUGAUUCCUACCUUCUGACGAACCAUGAUGUCAUUAAUUUGGUGUCAUGGGGAAUCAGGACUGUUACUUUGAAAAAAUUAGAGUGUUUAAAGCAGGCUCACGCUUGAAUACAUUAGCAUGGAAUAACGAAAUAGGACGU